GAUGAACGCUGGCGGCGUGCCUAAUACAUGCAAGUCGAGCGAACAGACGAGGAGCUUGCUCCUUCGACGUUAGCGGCGGACGGGUGAGUAACACGUAGGUAACCUACCUAUAAGACUGGGAUAACUUCGGGAAACCGGAGCUAAUACCGGAUAAUAUUUUGAACCGCAUGGUUCGAUAGUGAAAGAUGGCUUUGCUAUCACUUAUAGAUGGAUCUGCGCCGCAUUAGCUAGUUGGUAAGGUAACGGCUUACCAAGGCAACGAUACGUAGCCGACCUGAGAGGGUGAUCGGCCACACUGGAACUGAGACACGGUCCAGACUCCUACGGGAGGCAGCAGUAGGGAAUCUUCCGCAAUGGGCGAAAGCCUGACGGAGCAACGCCGCGUGAGUGAUGAAGGUCUUCGGAUCGUAAAACUCUGUUAUUAGGGAAGAACAAACGUGUAAGUAACUGUGCACGUCUUGACGGUACCUAAUCAGAAAGCCACGGCUAACUACGUG
rnacentral:rRNA from 1 species